rnacentral:tRNA from 1 species
CCGAUAGCUCAGUGGCAGAGCACUUCCAUGGUAAGGAAGGGGUCGUCAGUUCAAUCCUGACUCGG